AUCUACGACCAUGCCACCCUGAACAUGCCCGAUCUCAUCCGAUCUCAGAAGCUAAGCAGGGGCGGGCCUGGUUAUUAUUUGGAUGGGAGACCACCUAGGAAUAUCAGGUUCUGUAGGCU
rnacentral:rRNA from 1 species